AGCCUGGCGUGACAAGUGGGCGACGCCGGGGGGCAGGGAGCCGGGGUCCUUGGCCCUGGCCGGGGACCCCACCGCCCACCGCGCGGAGGACAACUUUUAGCCGGCAGCCCAGACCAGCGCGGCACCUGUCUCCGGAGUCUCCACCGCUCCUCCCGAUUCAUCCCAGGGAAAUUCUCAAGAAUACGCUCUACAAAUCUACGUGCGCAUCAUUUUCACCUCGCGUCGCGCCCGGGAGGAAGGAACGAGGCAAGGAGCUAAAGCAGCGUGCGUUCAGCCCUGGGGCAUUUUAUUAAUGCUUUUACGAGUUAGAAGAGUUGGGAUAAUUUGCCAUCUGGAGUUUCUCUGCCUUGCUGAUCUGAGCUCAGACCUGCCAAUUUACCAGAGAUAAUUGAUAACACCCUGUAACAGCUGAGAGGAAAAUGGAAGAAACGGAGAUACUUUUAGUGAAGCAGAAUAAACCACUGAACAGCGUUGGCUGAAAAACAUAAGGGAAAAAUGAGGAAGCUGUGAGUACCAGUGGAAGGAACGAGCCAGGAAGAGGGACUGGAACCAUCUCAGAAGCCAUGCCCCUCAGGCUGGAACUUGCCCUGUCUCCUCGCAGAUGAGACUGAGUGUACUUGGUCUGGUAUUUGUGGCAUAACUUACGGAACACAUAAGAAUGAUACAGAUACUAUUUAAUGAUGACCUAAUACAAGCUUAGAUAGCUAAGGUGAAAGCUUCUAUGGCCUUAACAUUUUCCUCUUGAAGAAUGUAUUUUCUGUAAUAAAAUACAGUGGCUACUUGAAAUCUAUAAACUUAUGUGAGGUCUGGAUAAAUCUGAGCAACUUUCUUCUUUGUGCUCCAGGAACCUACGCACUAUAUAUAUAAAUAAAGCUUAAGUAAACA
rnacentral:lncRNA from 1 species